GGGGAUAUGGGGUAGCCUGGUUAGCCUAUGAGGUUUGGGACCUUAUGACCCCGGUUCAAAUCCGGGUAUCCCCA
rnacentral:tRNA from 1 species